UUAGUACGAACGCAGCGAAAGUACUGUGCUGCAGAAGAAGCACUGGCUACUACGUGCCAGCAGCGCGGUAUACGUAGGGUGCUAAGCGUAUCCGGAGUAUUGGGCGUAAAGAGCUCGUAGGCGGUUUGUCGCGUCUGCUGUGAAAACUGGAGGCUCAACCUCCAGCCCUGCAGUGGGUACGGGCAGACUAGAGUGCGGUAGCGGAGAUUGGAAUUCCUGGUGUAGCGGUGGAAUGCGCAGAUAUCAGGAGGAACACCGAUGGCGAAGGCAGAUCUCUGGGCCGUAACUGACGCUGAGGAGCGGAAGCAUGGGGAGCGAACAGGAUUAGAUACCCUGGUAGUCCAUGCCGUAAACGUUGGGAACUAGAUGUAGGGACCAUUCCACGGUUUCUGUGUCGCAGCUAACGCAUUAAGUUCCCCGCCUGGGGAGUACGGCCGCAAGGCUAAAACUCAAAGGAAUUGACGGGGGCCCGCACAAGCGGCGGAGCAUGCGGAUUAAUUCGAUGCAACGCGAAGAACCUUACCAAGGCUUGACAUAUACCGGAAAAGUUCAGAAAUGUUCUCCCCGCAAGGUCGGUAUACAGGUGGUGCAUGGUUGUCGUCAGCUCGUGUCGUGAGAUGUUGGGUUAAGUCCCGCAACGAGCGCAACCCUCGUUCUAUGUUGCCAGCACGUAAUGGUGGGAACUCAUAGGAGACUGCCGUGGUCAACACGGAGGAAGGUGGGGAUGACGUCAAAUCAUCAUGCCCCUUAUGUCUUGGGCUUCACGCAUGCUACAAUGGCCGAUACAAAGGGCUGCAAUACCGUAAGGUGGAGCGAAUCCCAAAAAGUCGGUCUCAGUUCGGAUUGAGGUCUGCAACUCGACCUCAUGAAGUCGGAGUCGCUAGUAAUCGCAGAUCAGCAACGCUGCGGUGAAUACGUUCCCGGGCCUUGUACACACCGCCCGUCAAGUCAUGAAAGUCGGUAACACCCGAAGCCAGUGGCCCAACCGCAAGGAGGGAGCUUCGAAGGUGAUACGAAUGUUCC
rnacentral:rRNA from 1 species